GGAUGUGAACAUUGUCCGAGGUUGCCAAACCAGAUGAAAGAACAGGGAAAGACAUUGAGCUCACUGCCAAAGAUUGUUAUUCUGCGAAGAUAUAUCUCAUCUCUAAUUAUAGUAUUUCGUAGUGUCAUGCUGAUUAUAUAGUUCAUCUUUGGCCUUGCACCGUGGUUGUGGUAAUAUUUGUUGUUUUUUCCUACCUGUACAGUUUAGGUCGGGUUUGAUCAUCUCCCCAGUACCCCAUGCCUGGCUCCCUUAAUGUUCAUAUUCCACAUUUCCUUUUUCACUAACUAGUCUCUCCAGUCUGACCUAUGCGUUUGUGUUAAUGUGUCAACAAACUUAAUUUAUUUGAAAACUAGACAUUGCAUUUCAAAAUUCGUUACAGUAUAAAGAACAAGAAAUCCAUCAUUGCAAAGAUGACAAAUAUAUAACAAAAGCAUGCACUGAACUAUUCCGAUUGUUUUUUUUAGAAUAACAAACUCAUGAGUUGGUUCAGGUAGAUAUGCGACUAUGUCAUCGACAUCGAUAUAACAAUAUAUAUUCAUUGGUCCAUUUCAAACAAUCAGAAUAUAUACUUAUGUGAAGCAGAGAGGGCACCAUGGAGAAGGUGAGGUGGGCAUCAUCCAGUUUUAAAGGGGAGGGCUCCAGCAAGAAAUGUACCGCUACGGCGAGAAACCGAGCUGGAAAGGGAGCGUCCAGCAGAAAAAUGGCAGGGUGCGUCAGGGGGUGGCAUUUUGCAGAAUGGUCUGGGGAGGUUCGCAACAUUGUCUACUCAUCUGAUGGGAAAAUCUCUAUCUGUUGCGUAUCGUGUGACUAUGGAACUGAUGCAGAGGUGCCCUUCUUUGCUUGGGAGUUUGAAUCCGGUUUGGCUCUCACCGAUCUUGCCUGCUCAGUUUUUGAGUGUAUAACCAGUUUGUAGGUCCUACUAUUUGAUUAGUGGAUGCGACUGAUGGGGGCAUGGAGAUGAUGGCGAGGCAUCGUGUUGUGGUGGCGGUGAUGAAGGUAACCUCGUCGAUGGCGGCGGCGACGGGUGGCUGUUGACGAAAGCGAUUCGGGGAUGGGGGAUGUGGAGUGGCAAGGGAUGGAGGCGUAGAACUGCAGCCGGGGAGACGGAGUGGCGGCAAGAUUGGACGAGCUCGCCUGCGGAGUGCGUGGGCAAGAUUUCCCUUUCCGGGUCAAACGAGGGCUUCCUUCUAUGUGGAUUCUACGGAUGUUCUCCCAUAACCUCUUGAAGUGAUGCAAUGCGACGAUCUUCAACCAUGAAAAUGAAACUGCCAGCGUGGACGGAAACUGCCAGCAUGGACGGCCUACUCCUAUGAUCUCACAGGUUCUUGCUUACACUGGGAAUGAUGAGGCUAACAAGUUUUUCCUUGGAGGUGAGAUGUCACUUGACAACACGAAGGAUAAUUCGUUUUGAUGUCUCUGUUGUGUGUGCGCGGGCAUGUGCCAAAGGCGUCUAAUAGAACCCAGGUGAAGGCGAAGGAGGUUUGGCUCUCAGACAUGUGUAACACUCGAUGAUAACAACGUGCAGACUGAAAAUAUGGAUCCCAAUUUCAAAGCCAUAUCCAAUUAGUUUGUCUCUCAAAAAAAUACAACAAAUGCUAAAGGAUGAUUUACCCAUGGAGGCAUGGACCGAGAUUGCUUUAAUUUGGUCGUACGGAAGAUUAUGUUUGAUGACAUCCAAAUGGCACAAAAAACAAAACAAUUAAUAGACAAACAUUAUCUCGACAUGAAAUUUUGGACUUGCUUGCUGGUGGCUGGUGCCCUGCAGGGACCAGGUGGUGCCGUCGGCCGCGGCGCCGCCGCCACCGUCGUUGCAGCAGCUAGGCCGGGAGUAGCCGAGCAGGGAAGAAGCAUAAUUGUUUUCUAUAUUCUGCUCCUCCCACCGACCAGUUGAGGGUUGGAGUCAUCGGACAGCGCCGUCAGGCGUCAGCUAAGUUAAAGAAUUGAGAAUUGGACGACUGGCCGGUUCGUACGGCUGCUCUUAGUGCUCUGCCGAUUUGGCCUUCGGAUUGUUGCCUGCUUAACUGCUUGUGGGAUGUAUAAGCACAAAAAACAGUUCAAAAAAUUACAAAUGAAAUAUAAUAUUUCAAAAAAAUGUUCAUCACCAUAAAAAUGAUAAUUUUUUAAAAAUGUUCUCGAAUUUUUUAUUUAAAAUACACCUCAUAAUAAAAAUAUUUGUGCUUUCUGAACAACCAAAAAAAAUACUUUCAUCUGAUGAAAUGAAAGUGCAUAGCUGAAAUAGGUAUGACGAACAUUGUUAGGGUACGACCAAAUUUCAUGGUCCAAAAAAAUCAUAGUUAAAAAAGGCGCGCCUAGAUUCUAGGCGUUGGCAAAUACUCAGUGUAAUCUUAUUUUUGACGUUUGCAAAAGUAGGACUAAAAAGUGUUGAAUAAUGGCACAUGGAGCAGGUUUUAAUUUUUUGCCCCGAGAUCUCCA
rnacentral:rRNA from 1 species